AUGGUGCAGACGAGAAAAGGAGUCCCUCA
rnacentral:piRNA from 1 species